GUGAGGAAUAUUGGUCAAUGGGCGGAAGCCUGAACCAGCCAUCCCGCGUGGAGGAAGACGGCCCUAUGGGUUGUAAACUUCUUUUCAAGGGGAAGAAAGUUCGCGACGUGUCGCGAUUUGCCGGUACCUUUGGAAUAAGCAUCGGCUAACUCCGUGCCAGCAGCCGCGGUAAUACGGAGGAUGCGAGCGUUAUCCGGAUGUAUUGGGUUUAAAGGGUGCGUAGGCCGAUCGAUAAGUCAGCGGUGAAAUACCAUGGCCCAACCAUGGAACUGCCGUUGAUACUGUCGGUCUUGAAUAUGGUCAAGGUAGGCGGAAUGUGUAAUGUAGCGGUGAAAUGCUUAGAUAUUACACAGAACACCGAUUGCGAAGGCAGCUUACUGGUCCAUUAUUGACGCUGAGGCACGAAAGCGUGGGGAUCGAACAGGAUUAGAUACCCCAGUAGUCC
rnacentral:rRNA from 1 species